rnacentral:rRNA from 1 species
UUAAAUUGAAGAGUUUGAUCAUGGCUCAGAUUGAACGCUGGCGGCAGGCCUAACACAUGCAAGUCGAACGGUAACAGGAAGCAGCUUGCUGCUUUGCUGACGAGUGGCGGACGGGUGAGUAAUGUCUGGGAAACUGCCUGAUGGAGGGGGAUAACUACUGGAAACGGUGGCUAAUACCGCAUAACGUCGCAAGACCAAAGAGGGGGACCUUCGGGCCUCUUGCCAUCAGAUGUGCCCAGAUGGGAUUAGCUUGUUGGUGAGGUAACGGCUCACCAAGGCGACGAUCCCUAGCUGGUAUGAGAGGAUGAC